rnacentral:rRNA from 1 species
AUUGAACGCUGGCGGCAUGCUUUACACAUGCAAGUCGAACGGUAACAGGUUAAGCUGACGAGUGGCGAACGGGUGAGUAAUGCAUCGGAACGUGCCCGGUCGUGGGGGAUAACGCAGCGAAAGCUGCGCUAAUACCGCAUACGAUCUGAGGAUGAAAGCGGGGGACCGUAAGGCCUCGCGCGAUCGGAGCGGCCGAUGUCAGAUUAGGUAGUUGGUGGGGUAAAGGCUCACCAAGCCGACAAUCUGUAGCUGGUCUGAGAGGACGACCAGCCACACUGGGACUGAGACACGGCCCAGACUCCUACGGGAGGCAGCAGUGGGGAAUUUUGGACAAUGGGCGCAAGCCUGAUCCAGCAAUGCCGCGUGCAGGAAGAAGGCCCUCGGGUUGUAAACUGCUUUUGUACGGAGCGAAAAGGCUCUCUCUAAUACAGAGGGCUCAUGACGGUACCGUAAGAAUAAGCACCGGCUAACUACGUGCCAGCCGCCGCCGUAAAAC